rnacentral:snoRNA from 1 species
CCCCUCUCAGGGUUGCACCUGGAGAGUUUCCAGUCCUCUACCGGUCUUGGCUAUGGGAAGGAGAGUCAAGCAGAGGCCUACCCAUUCCAAUCCUAGCUUGGGCAGUGGCUAGCGAGUGGAAAGCAAUUUGCUACAAGU